rnacentral:rRNA from 1 species
GUGGAUUAGAUACCCUGGUAGUCCACACUGUAAACGAUGAUUGCUAGGUGUGGGGGGUCUGACCCCCUCCGUGCCGGAGCUAACGCAAUAAGCAAUCCACCUGGGGAGUACGGCCGCAAGGUUGAAACUCAAAGGAAUUGACGGGGGCCCGCACAAGCAGUGGAUUAUGUGGGUUAAUUCGAAGCAACGCGAAGAACCUUACCAGGUCUUGACAUCCAACCAACGAAGCAGAGAUGCAUCAGGUGCCCUUCGGGGAAAGUUGAGACAGGUGGUGCACGGCCGUCGACAACU